rnacentral:rRNA from 1 species
UAUGACGGUACCCUUUCGAAUAAGAGGUUGCUAACUCUGUGCCAGCAGCAGCGGUAAUACAGAGACCUCGAGCGUUAUCCGGAUUUACUGGGCGUAAAGCGUCUGUAGGGGGUUUGUUAAGUUCCAAGUAAAAUCUUAAGGCUCAACUUUAAGUUCGCUUGGAAAACUAAUAAACUGGAGUCCAGCAGAGGUGCAUGGAACUUGCGGUGUAGGAGUGAAAUCCGUUGAUAUCGCAAGGAACACCAAAGGCGAAGGCAUUGCACUGGGCUGGUACUGACCCUGAGAGACGAAAGCGUGGGGAGCAAAACGGAUUAGAUACCCGUGUAGUCCACGCCGUAAACGAUGGAUACUAGAUGUUCGGGGAUUCGACCCCCUGGGUGUCACAGCUAACGCGUUAAGUAUCCCGCCUGGGAAGUACGGCCGCAAGGCUAAAACUCAAAGGAAUAGACGGGGAUCCGCACAAGCGGUGGAGCGUCUGGUUUAAUUUGAUAGUAAGCAAUGGACCUCACCAAGGUUUGACAUUCUAUGACAACCCUGGAAACAGGGCUUCCUUCGGGCAUAGUGACAGGUGCUGCAUGGUCGUCGUCAGUUCGUGCCGUGAGGUGUUCCGUUAAGUCGGGAAACGAACGAAACCCUCGUCGCAUGUUACAAAUUUCAUGCGAGACUGCCCGGGUCAACCGGGAGGAAGGCGGGGAUGACGUCAGAUCAGCAUGGCCCUUAUACCUUGGGCUACACAGGCGCUACAAUGGCCGGUACAAAGGGUUGCAAAACCGCGAGGUGAAGCUAAUCCCAUAAAGCCGGUCCAAGUUCGGAUUGGAGGCUGCAACUCGCCUCCAUGAAGUUGGAAUCGCUAGUAAUCGUGGAUCAGCCAUACCACGGUGAUACGUUCCCGGAUCUUGUAC